GUUAAAUUUGUGGUUCAAAACCUUCCUGCAAAGAAAACUCUACAAGCUCUCAAAGUACAUUUGUAGGAAAAUAUAGAUAGGAAAGUCAAACUUCUAAGACUCCAGAUACAUCCAAAUGAAGCACUGAAUGGGGCAGUCUGCUUUUCUUA
rnacentral:snRNA from 1 species